GCUGUAGCUCAGUGCUAGAGCAUUUGCUUUGCAUGCAGAAAGUCGCUGGUUCAAUCCCUGGCAUCUCCA